ACGAACGCUGGCGGCGUGCUUAACACAUGCAAGUCGAAUGGUGAAGCGCCUUCCUUUUUGGUGGGUGUGGAUGAGUGGCGAACGGGUGAGUAACACGUGAGUAACCUGCCCCCUUCUUCUGGAUAACCGCAUGAAAGUGUGGCUAAUACGGGAUAUUCUGGGUCUGUCGCAUGAUGGGUCUGGGAAAGAUAUUGUUUCGGUGGGGGAUGGGCUCGCGGCCUAUCAGCUUGUUGGUGGGGUGAUGGCCUACCAAGGCGGUGACGGGUAGCCGGCCUGAGAGGGUGGACGGUCACACUGGGACUGAGACACGGCCCAGACUCCUACGGGAGGCAGCAGUGGGGAAUAUUGCACAAUGGGCGCAAGCCUGAUGCAGCGACGCCGCGUGAGGGAUGGAGGCCUUCGGGUUGUGAACCUCUUUCGCCAGUGAAGCAGGCCUGCCUCGUUUGUGGGUGGGUUGACGGUAGCUGGAUAAGAAGCGCCGGCUAACUACGUG
rnacentral:rRNA from 1 species